GCACCCACAAAAGGAUCUGGCAUCCCGAUUGAGAAUCACAGGUCUAUGGAGAGUGCAGUCACAUGUUUGACUUCAAUGCAAACAGACCCUUCUGACAAUAGGCAGAUGUUGAAUUCUUGAAAGAUCAUGUUCUUCAGGAUAACUCCUUCAACAGCACAGGUUUAACAGACAGAUGGAGAAUACAUUGCCAGGA